rnacentral:rRNA from 1 species
GAUGAACGCUGGCGGCGUGCUUAACACAUGCAAGUCGAACGAAGCACUUAAGAUUGAUUCUUCGGAUGACGUCUUUUGUGACUUAGUGGCGGACGGGUGAGUAACGCGUGGGUAACCUGCCUCACACAGGGGGAUAACAGUUAGAAAUGACUGCUAAUACCGCAUAACCCGAUAGGAUCGCAUGAUCCAGACGGAAAAGAUUUAUCGGUGUGAGAUGGACCCGCGUCUGAUUAGCUAGUUGGUGAGGUAACGGCCCACCAAGGCGACGAUCAGUAGCCGGCCUGAGAGGGUGAACGGCCACAUUGGGACUGAGACACGGCCAAAACUCCUACGGGAAGCAGCAGUGGGGAAUAUUGCACAAUGGGGGAAACCCUGAUGCAGCGACGCCGCGUGAGUGAAGAAGUAUUUCGGUAUGUAAAGCUCUAUCAGCAGGGAAGAAAAUGACGGUACCUGACUAAGAAGCCCCGGCUAACUACGUG